UGGAAAUCUUUCAUUCUGCACAAUGUUAUUC
rnacentral:piRNA from 1 species